rnacentral:rRNA from 1 species
CGUUAUCCGGAAUCAUUGGGCGUAAAGCGCCUGUAGGUUGUUUAAUAAGUCUGUUGUUAAAGACUGGGGCUUAACCCCAGGAAAGCAAUGGAAACUACUAGACUAGAGUAUGGUAGGGGUAAAGGGAAUUUCUAGUGUAGCGGUGAAAUGCGUAGAUAUUAGAAAGAACACCGGUGGCGAAAGCGCUUUACUGGACCAUUACUGACACUCAGAGGCGAAAGCUAGGGUAGCCAAAGGGAUUAGAUACCCCUGUAGUCCUAGCCGUAAACGAUGGAUACUAGAUGUUGCGCUUAUUGUGUAGUGUCGUAGCUAACGCGUUAAGUAUCCCGCCUGGGGAGUACGAUCGCAAGGUUGAAACUCAAAGGAAUUGACGGGGGCCCGCACAAGCGGUGGAGCAUGUGGUUUAAUUCGAUGCAACGCGAAGGACCUUACCAGGGCUUGACAUACUGCAAAUUUUCUUGAAAGAGAAAAGUGCCUUCGGGAAUGCAGAUACAGGUGGUGCAUGGCUGUCGUCAGCUCGUGUCGUGAGAUGUUGGGUUAAGUCCCGCAACGAGCGCAACCCUCGUUUUUAGUUGCCAUUUUAUGGGUUCCCUAGAAAGACUGCCGGUGACAAACCGGAGGAAGGUGGGGAUGACGUCAAGUCAGCAUGCCCCUUAUGCCCUGGGCUACACACGUGCUACAAUGGCUAAGACAAAGAGUCGCGAAUUCGCGAGAAUCAGCUAAUCUCAUAAACUUAGUCUAAGUUCAGAUUGUAGGCUGCAAC